AGUGAACGCUGGCGGUAGGCCUAACACAUGCAAGUCGAACGGCAGCACAGUAAGAGCUUGCUCUUACGGGUGGCGAGUGGCGGACGGGUGAGGAAUACAGCGGCAUCUACUUUUUCGUGGGGGAUAACGUAGGGAAACUUACGCUCAUACCGCAUACGACCUACGGGUGAAUGCAGGGGAUCUUCUGACCUUGCGCUACUUAAUGUACCGAUGUCGGAUUAGCUAGUUGGCGGGGUAAAGGCCCACCAAGGCGACGAUCCGUAGCUGGUCUGAGAGGAUGGUCAGCCACAGUGGAACUGAGACACGGUCCAGACUCCUACGGGAGGCAGCAGUGGGGAAUAGUGGACAAUGGGCGCAAGCCUGAUCCAGCCAUACCGCGUGGGUGAAGAAGGCCUUCGGGUUGUAAAGCCCUUUUGUUGGGAAAGAAAAGCAGCAGGUUAAUACCCCGCUGUUCUGACGGUACCCAAAGAAUAAGCACCGGCUAACUUCGUG
rnacentral:rRNA from 1 species